AGUCAAUCAGUAAGCGGAGGAAAAGAAACUAACCAGGAUUCCCUGAGUAACGGCGAGUGAACAGGGAUGAGCCCAGAACCGAAGCCUGCGGCGGGUGUCAACCUGACUCCCCAUUCUCGCUCGUUCGCCGCCCGCUCGCCGCCCGCCCGCCCCUUCUCUGGCUCUCCGGAAUACGGGUGAGUGCGUGUGCGUGUGUGCGUGUGUGCGCGCGUGCGCGUGCGCGAGUCUGUGUGUGUCCAUACAGCUGCUAGGCGAUGUGGUGUUGAAGCCGACCUGCCUGUGGCGUGCGGUCGUGGGCCCGGUUGGAAGUCCAAGACUGAGUAUGGCUCGGUAGGCAUUGGCCCAGAGAGGGUGAUAGGCCCGUGCGAAUCGGUGCUCCGGCACGUCGGCAGAUCAGGCGGAUCGGCUUUAGAGUCGGGCUGUUUGGGAUUGCAGCCCAAAGUGGGUGGUAAACUCCAUCCAAGGCUAAAUACUGGCACGAGUCCGAUAGUGCACAAGUACCGUGAGGGAAAGUUGAAAAGUACUUUGAAAAGAGAGUAAACAGUACGUGAAACCGCAUACAGGUAAACGGGUGGCGUCAAACUGCAAGCCCGGAGGAUUCAGUCAAUCAGGCGGCAGCGGCAGCAGCAGCAGCAGCGGCUGCUGGCGUCCGAUGGAUGCACUUCCUCCGUCAGUGUGCCGUGUCCCUGUCAGGAUGCGGCGCACGGUGGACACCACGAUCGACGGAAUUGCCCGUCUGCCGGAAGGCAUUCCUGUACACCCGGGAAUGCGGGACACAUUGCCGGUACAACGGUGGCCGGUCGGUCGGUCAUGUCAUGUCAUGUCAUGUGGCCGGUCGGUUGGUCAUGUCAUCGGGCACUGUCUGUGUGUCUGCGUGUCUGCUUGUUGUACAGCAUUGCUGUACAGCAUUGUCUGCCGGGGUGUGCGCGCGUAUGGUUGCCGACUGGCGGUGUCUAUGACUGGUGCAAGGCGUCGGAGAUAGACGGUGUGCACGCCUGCGUGCAUAGCCGUUAUACAAUCGGUGGUGCAAUGGUAGAAGAGCAA
rnacentral:rRNA from 1 species